UACGGUCAAAUCGCGAUGAAGCACCGGUUUUCGUUAGAUAACCGAAGUUAAGCAGUGUCGAGCCCGGUCAGUACUUGGAUGGGGUUAUCACC